rnacentral:rRNA from 1 species
GGUUAAGCGACUAAGCGUACACGGUGGAUNNCNNUGCCCUGGCAGUCAGAGGCGAUGAAGGACGUGCUAAUCUGCGAAAAGCGUCGGUAAGGUGAUAUGAACCGUUAUAACCGGCGAUGUCCGAAUGGGGAAACCCAGUGCAAUUCGUUGCACUAUCGUUAACUGAAUACAUAGGUUAACGAGGCGAACCGGGGGAACUGAAACAUCUAAGUACCCCGAGGAAAAGAAAUCAACCGAGAUUCCCCCAGUAGCGGCGAGCGAACGGGGAGCAGCCCAGAGUCUGAAUCAGCUUGUGUGUUAGUGGAACGGUCUGGAAAGUCCGACGGUACAGGGUGAUAGUCCCGUACACCAAAAUGCACAGGCUGUGAACUCGAAGAGUAGGGCGGGACACGUGGUAUCCUGUCUGAAUAUGGGGGGACCAUCCUCCAAGGCUAAAUACUCCUGACUGACCGAUAGUGAACCAGUACCGUGAGGGAAAGGCGAAAAGAACCCCGGCGAGGGGAGUGAAAAAGAACCUGAAACCGUGUACGUACAAGCAGUGGGAGCACCUUCGGGUGUGACUGCGUACCUUUUGUAUAAUGGGUCAGCGACUUAUAUUCUGUAGCAAGGUUAACCGUAUAGGGGAGCCGCAGGGAAACCGAGUCUUAACUGGGCGUUAAGUUGCAGGGUAUAGACCCGAAACCCGGUGAUCUAGCCAUGGGCAGGUUGAAGGUUGGGUAACACUAACUGGAGGACCGAACCGACUAAUGUUGAAAAAUUAGCGGAUGACUUGUGGCUGGGGGUGAAAGGCCAAUCAAACCGGGAGAUAGCUGGUUCUCCCCGAAAGCUAUUUAGGUAGCGCCUCGUGAACUCAUCUUCGGGGGUAGAGCACUGUUUCGGCUAGGGGGUCAUCCCGACUUACCAACCCGAUGCAAACUACGAAUACCGAAGAAUGUUAUCACGGGAGACACACGGCGGGUGCUAACGUCCGUCGUGAAGAGGGAAACAACCCAGACCGCCAGCUAAGGUCCCAAAGUCAUGGUUAAGUGGGAAACGAUGUGGGAAGGCACAGACAGCCAGGAUGUUGGCUUAGAAGCAGCCAUCAUUUAAAGAAAGCGUAAUAGCUCACUGGUCGAGUCGGCCUGCGCGGAAGAUGUAACGGGGCUAAACCAUGCACCGAAGCUGCGGCAGCGACACUAUGUGUUGUUGGGUAGGGGAGCGUUCUGUAAGCCUGCGAAGGUGUGCUGUGAGGCAUGCUGGAGGUAUCAGAAGUGCGAAUGCUGACAUAAGUAACGAUAAAGCGGGUGAAAAGCCCGCUCGCCGGAAGACCAAGGGUUCCUGUCCAACGUUAAUCGGGGCAGGGUGAGUCGACCCCUAAGGCGAGGCCGAAAGGCGUAGUCGAUGGGAAACAGGUUAAUAUUCCUGUACUUGGUGUUACUGCGAAGGGGGGACGGAGAAGGCUAUGUUAGCCGGGCGACGGUUGUCCCGGUUUAAGCAUGUAGGCUGAUUGUCCAGGCAAAUCCGGAUAAUCAAGGCUGAGGUGUGAUGACGAGGCACUACGGUGCUGAAGUAACAAAUGCCCUGCUUCCAGGAAAAGCCUCUAAGCAUCAGGUAACAUCAAAUCGUACCCCAAACCGACACAGGUGGUCAGGUAGAGAAUACCAAGGCGCUUGAGAGAACUCGGGUGAAGGAACUAGGCAAAAUGGUGCCGUAACUUCGGGAGAAGGCACGCUGGUGUGUAGGUGAAGUCCCUGCGGAUGGAGCUGAGACCAGUCGAAGAUACCAGCUGGCUGCAACUGUUUAUUAAAAACACAGCACUGUGCAAACACGAAAGUGGACGUAUACGGUGUGACGCCUGCCCGGUGCCGGAAGGUUAAUUGAUGGGGUUAUCCGUAAGGAGAAGCUCUUGAUCGAAGCCCCGGUAAACGGCGGCCGUAACUAUAACGGUCCUAAGGUAGCGAAAUUCCUUGUCGGGUAAGUUCCGACCUGCACGAAUGGCGUAAUGAUGGCCAGGCUGUCUCCACCCGAGACUCAGUGAAAUUGAACUCGCUGUGAAGAUGCAGUGUACCCGCGGCAAGACGGAAAGACCCCGUGAACCUUUACUAUAGCUUGACACUGAACAUUGAGCCUUGAUGUGUAGGAUAGGUGGGAGGCUUUGAAGCGUGGACGCCAGUCUGCGUGGAGCCAACCUUGAAAUACCACCCUUUAAUGUUUGAUGUUCUAACGUUGGCCCCUGACCGGGGUUGCGGACAGUGUCUGGUGGGUAGUUUGACUGGGGCGGUCUCCUCCCAAAGCGUAACGGAGGAGCACGAAGGUUAGCUAAUCCUGGUCGGACAUCAGGAGGUUAGUGCAAUGGCAUAAGCUAGCUUGACUGCGAGCGUGACGGCGCGAGCAGGUGCGAAAGCAGGUCAUAGUGAUCCGGUGGUUCUGAAUGGAAGGGCCAUCGCUCAACGGAUAAAAGGUACUCCGGGGAUAACAGGCUGAUACCGCCCAAGAGUUCAUAUCGACGGCGGUGUUUGGCACCUCGAUGUCGGCUCAUCACAUCCUGGGGCUGAAGUAGGUCCCAAGGGUAUGGCUGUUCGCCAUUUAAAGUGGUACGCGAGCUGGGUUUAGAACGUCGUGAGACAGUUCGGUCCCUAUCUGCCGUGGGCGCUGGAGAAUUGAGGGGGGCUGCUCCUAGUACGAGAGGACCGGAGUGGACGCAUCACUGGUGUUCGGGUUGUCAUGCCAAUGGCACUGCCCGGUAGCUAAAUGCGGAAGAGAUAAGUGCUGAAAGCAUCUAAGCACGAAACUUGCCCCGAGAUGAGUUCUCCCUGAGACUAUAAGUCUCCUGAAGGAACGUUAAAGACGAUGACGUUGAUAGGCCGGGUGUGUAAGCGCAGCGAUGCGUUGAGCUAACCGGUACUAAUGAACCGUGAGGCUUAACCUU